CCACUCUAGCUGCAGCCGGUGCUCCCGGUGCGUUUCCGCCGACGCUAAGCAGGUGGAAGGCGUAUCCCGGUCUUGUGUCACCGAAGGAGUGCCCCUGAACCAUCCCGCGCCUUCCCGCGCCGUCCCCCACUCUGACCCCGCCGUCUCCAGCCCUGACGCCCCAGGUCAGUCGCUGCCGGGCCGCGCCGCACUGGUACCCCCGGCGGCCUCCAAGGCUGGUGCUGCGUCCACCUGCCCCCGACGAGAGGAGAAACUGAGGUUCCAAGGAAGCAGGAAGAUCAGGCCGGAGGUCAGCUCCGAGCCCAGGCCCGAUUCCUGGUUGCGGGACCGCCUCCUCUGCCGGGUGUGGACCCCUCGGGUUCGUGUCCGAGAAAGGGCCCUCAGGCUUUGUGACUUUGUGGCUCUUGGAGACAGAUGACAAUUCUCUCUCGGAAGACUUUGCUUGUGUGCUCCGCACCAGCCGGCGCCCGCCCCCUCCUCUCCUGCAGGACCCUGCUCUGCACUGCUGGAUGCUCCCCCACUGUGUCCAGGGGCUGAGGCAGUCUCCUGGAUCUUGAUGUCAGUGUCCGAGUCUUGCCUCGCCUUAGCCUCAGUGCCUGGCAGGUGCCCAGUGUUCAGAAGCUGUGGAUCAAAUGCAUAAAAGGAGCCAAGAGAAGGGGACAUGAAUCCUUGUAAGGUGGCAUGGCUCAUCACGUGCGGAUGAUCAGGGAAAGACUGCUUGUGAGCCAGCCAGCCAGAAGAGGAGGCAGCUCAGUGCAGAGGGGCCCUUGAGUGUUGUCUCCAUCCUGUCAGGAAGUGGCUGGACCAGGGUGCUCUCAAGAUGAGUUCACUGUGUACGGAGGCAUCACAGGAGUUGUCAUGUCAGGAACAUUCUCGACCCUGGUGUCCUUGAGCUUGAAGGAAGAUGAGAUGACAUCGGAGACCAAACACUUGUGAUUUCCUGCUCUGUGGCUUUAUCACUCUAGGGGUGCUGUCUUGGAUCUGGAGAUUGUUGGAAGAAGCCCCAAGGGGAUGGAGGCACUGGCCCUAUCAAGAUGGUGACCUGGGUCCCAGCUCCCCUGCAGGGGCCUCCUCAUGAGUGAAGAGUGCUGCUGCCACAUGACGCAUCGCCAGACCUUCUUAUCCCUGUUACCUUAGCGCGGAAAGGAAGGACUUUUCCAUCCGAGUAAGCAGAAGGGAAGUGCUGGGGGACUAUGUUCAGAGUUGGGGAACUUCAGCUGGCUCUGCCCCUUCCCAGCAGGUGUCACAGAGCGUGUGGACCAGGACUGCCAGUUUCCUUCCAUCCGGGUAGGUCACCCAGUGUCCCCCAUGUCUCCCUGCCUACUCUCGGUAUAACUUUUUAGAACUAAGAGUUUUGUUUAAGUUUUCUGUGCUGUGUAUCAUUUUCCUCUCACCUACCUCAAUAAAUCUGGAAACUGUCCUGCU